AGCUCGAAUUUUGAGGUUUUAGUUUCCAUACUAUUAGUGAGGAUGACUUAUUUAGAAAAUGAAAAUGCCAACUCUGGUUUUAUAAGAACGGGGAAUGAGUAACGUAUACACGCUUCCCAUCCUCCUUGUGAAAUAAUAGAUGAAGUUCCUUUCAAAUGAGAUGCUGCCUGUAAAAUUUUUGUUAGCAUUGCACUGAGAUCUCUGCAAAAUUUUAGAUAGCUAAUUUUGGGGAUAUAUUGUAGUGCAGGGAGAUAAAUUAUUGACUGAAGACUGGCUAUGUACUAGGAAUAUACAGAGUGUAUCAGUUGAAAGUUGAAACCAGGAUAAGAAAGUGAGAUGAAUUAUUUGAA
rnacentral:misc_RNA from 1 species